rnacentral:lncRNA from 1 species
GUCCACCCACGGAUUGGGACUGGGGAUGGGGACAGGAGUACAGGUUCAUGUUCAUUUGGCACACUGUAGCAAAAUGUUUUGCAACCGGAAACUAAAACGAGCAUUUUUUAUUGGACAAGUUCAGAUGGUCGCAUGCGGUUGGACACAUGGAGGAGAGAAUCAUUUUCGCAGUUUCCUCAAAACCGUGUCUUUUUGACACUACUGCUGACAGCUACAGGGACAUAAACACAACAAAAAUUAUGCUUGGAGACAAGUGUCCAUGAUAGUAGGAUUGCCAGGUCAGUUUAGUAGUGAGCUUGUGCUAGAUGUGGCUAGUUAACGUGACCCACAACAAUGGGUCCUGGAGAAGACUAGCCUACCUUCAUCAGAGCAGAAGGCACCCCAAUUUUCUUUUCAUUUGGUAACAUUGCAUAAUUAAAAAAGGAUUCUAAACCAACUUUGGGAAAAGUUAUAGUCCUACUGAACAUUCUGUAAAAUUACAUCUGAUGUCAAAUAGGGACUAUUAACUUGAGAGCCCUUUAGCU